AAGCAUUGCUUUCGUUAUGUUUUGAAUUCCUUUGUUUCUAAACAAUAUAAUACCUCGUCUUAUGUUGAUUUAUAUAGGUUUUGAAUGUAAACAGUUCAUGUUCAUUCAAAGCUCACGGACAUUGUUUACAUUUGCUGCUCGUUUCUGAUUGUCUCCAACAAUUUUCAAUAUAUUGAGGUUGCUGGUGUGAGCUGACCAGUGCUUAGAAUGAAUGCUGAUUUCUGCAAAAGUCUUAUACUAUUCGAACCCUACAUACCGGGAAAUUGUGAUUUAGAAUGAAUAGUUUCCGUCUACUAAAUAUACAAUUACGGACCAUCGAUUGUCCUCAAGCACGUAAAUAAACAUUUAUUGGUACAAUAAAUUGUUUUGUAUUCACAUUUUGUAAGUUGUACCGUAGAUAAUGAUAUUUUUGUAAUUUUUACCAUUUCCCCUGUAAUGUCUCUUAAAAUUGACCGCUAUACGAUGUCACUGACCAAUCAAACAUUGAUUACUUAUGACGUAUUCGAUUCAUUCUGGCCAAUUUUUCCUUUGUUUUCAAGCAUGGACAUUUCCAACAAUCACCACUUCCCCCUUUUUACUAUGCUUCACUACGUCAUUAUAAGAUUAAUUGUAUAUGGGCCCUUUUGUGACCACCUUUUUGCUAUAGUUGUAUUCAGCAUCUGUACAUGUUUUAUUGGACGGGUUUCUUGUGUCAUGUGACUAGUUAGCCUGUUUUAAACACUAUCUAGUCAUUUUGUAGUUCUUAUUCAACUCUCUGAUGUAAGCCCAGCCAAUUCAUUGUCAUGUAUGAUUAUGUAAUAUGCAAUUUUAGUUGGCAGUUAUUUGUUAUUUCAAUAAAUGCACGGGCAUUUUGUUCGAUAAUAACCUUAAAUUUAUCACUGAAAAUUACUUUUUUCCAAUAUCCAUUAACAGUUCCAUGGCUGUGCACCUGACCAUAAUAUAUUUCUUGUUCACUUCAGAAAUUUUUACUAUCAUCUUCACUGCCUUUUUCCAGCAUCCAUUUUGAUAUAAUUUCUUCUCAAUUUUCCAUUUUGAGAAUUUGCGAUGCAUCCUGACAUCAAAUAUGUUUGUACAGUUAACCGACGACUUCAAUCUGUGUCGUCGUGCUGUCUUAGAAUGCAAUCCUUGUAUAUAAGUAUCCUUGUGUAAUGGAAACUGAACUCUUUUUUCUCAUCCGGAUCAUCGUAACUUCUUAUUUUUUUCCUUUUUGUAUAUGUUUUAGAAAACUGUACACGGUACUUUGAUUCAGGCCUGAUAAUCCGACAAUGUUUACUCUUUUUAAAUUUACAUCCUAAAUUGUAAAUAUGUAUAAUAUCUGUUUUAAUGUGAACUUUUUCCCUUCCAACCUAUCUCUGUUUACAUUUUUUUUUCAACAUUUAGAGAUGACAAGGAUGUGGCGUGAUUUAUGACGUAGAAACAUCACUAAAUAAGUUAAGAUAAUUCCAGAAAAUCCUAUUUCUGGAGCAUACUUUAAGAAUUUCAUUGUAUUUUUGGAUAUUGUGUUUGGUUGUAUUUGACGACCAUUUUCAUUUUUUACGAAUAGUUCUGGUGGACGAUUGCACAUCUGUUUAAAUAUAUUACAUGCAUAAUUCGAUCUUAUUAUAUGGUGCAUUACCUAUACAUAUGCACAUAAAAGAGGAAAAAAAUUGACAGUAUGCAUACUUGAGGAUAUAUUUCUUAUGCAAUCUCAAACAUAUUGUUGGUUACACACAAAUAAUGUAAACAGGGAUGUGUACUAUAGCUUUCAAAUUUGUUGUUCCGUCGGUAGGUUUAUUUUAAUUCAUCAAAUUUAUUAGAAACAUGCAAUUUGUUUAUUGAUAGGCACACUGGUUUUGGGCUGCGGAUGACUCCUUUUGCCUGAUCUAGAUAUGGCACUCCCGGCAGGUGUGACCGAUCGACAGGAAAUGCUUCCUUUUCCUGGGCAUCUGACCCCACUUCUGAACAGUGAUUAUAAUAAUUAUAAUAAAAGUACACUUAUAUAGCGCCUUAUCUAAAAAUACCCUACAGCGCUGUACAACAUACUAAAAGAACAUGACCCACGAACCAUGAAAAAUGGCCUAGCCUGGGAUAUUGAUAUUUUCUGUAUAUAAUAAUCUUCAGGAUAUAGGCUUUCGAGAAAUGUUUUUCUUUUUUUCAUAUAUUCUAUACUUUUUUGUUAAUAUGACGUUGAAUAUUGUGGUAUUUAAUGUUAAAAAAUUAACAUUUCGGGAUACACGUCACAACAAUAAACCUCCAAUGACCAUGUACAAUGUACAUGAACCUAUAAAUCUCUGAAUAUAUCAAGUUAUAUGCACUCAAAUAGCUAGAAUGGCUUAUUCAAUGAUCAUAAUAAGCAUUUUUGACCAAAUUUGGCAAAUAGAAAUGAGAAAUAUUUUGGAAAUGAUGUUCAAAGCCGUGAUUGUUCAACUUUACUUUUAAAUUAUUUUUACUUGAAUUUUAAAAUACUGAAAUAAGAAGAAUAAAUAUAGUAUGUAGUCUAUUUACAUGGUGAAAGAAGUGAAUCAUUGGAACAAUUCUGUUUCAUAUGAUAUUCCAUAGUUUUUUUGUUUUGUUUUUUUUAGUUUUUUUUUUGUAUUAAAACGACCGAGUAUCGAUAGAAAAUGUAACGAAAUAAGUUGACACCGCGUCUCGUAAAAAAUGUUCAAUUCGAAUUUACUCGGAAUUACACGUUCAACGAGCAUUUCCUGUGAAACCUGAUUAAAGGAAACUUACUGUAGACACCUAAUAGUAAGUAUCAAAUGAUCUUUUUUGUUACAUGUACAUGUAGAUUUCAUAGCGUGAAUAAUAACACAACACCGAUAUAGGGGAUCAGAGUCAGUAUAUUAUUGACUCUGAAACACAGGCACUUGUUUCUGUAAAUGACUUAUGACCUCUGUAUACUAAUAACAACACGUGUUGUUAUUAGUAUACAGAGGUCAUAAGUCAUUUACAGAAACAAGUGCCUGUGCUCUGAAAAUACGAUUUGAGAAAUGAUACUGUAUGAAUUUUACUGUAUUUAUCUUUAUCAAUAAUUGUAUAUUCCUAUACGUAUUAAUCAUGUAAAGAUACUGAAGUCUUUUAACCAACAAUUUUAAAUGUGUGUGCAAUACAUUAUUGACUGACAGAACGUAAUUCAUGAGCUGUGAUCUAAAAAAAUUUCAGGCAUUAAUAUAGAUUUGAAUAGAAUUACAUCUAGAUACAUAUUUGAAAUAGAAUAUAUCCUAAGGCACUAUAGUUUUAAAUUGUUUGGAUUAUAUUGCAUUUACAUGUAAUGUAUACAUGCUUGUAAAUGCCACAGAAUGAGAAAUAAUCUAAAUUGGCCUAUUUUCAUAAUGUUCCCAAAAUAGAAGUAUCAUGUAGAUCUAUACAGGAAAUAACAUUUACAAAUCAUGUUUGUUGUUUGUUAUUUGCCAGUUAAGUAUCAUAAUGAUAAUACUAGUAGUUUAUAAUAAGUAAUUAUUCUGCUAAAAUAAUAUACCCUUUUUAUUGUCAACAAAUACAUCACUGGUAAAAAGGUUAUAAAGCUUUUAUCUAGCACAAGUUUCCAUAUUCUACAGGUUUACAUAUGUCAGCAAGUCCUCAAAAGCAGCUUUAGGGGUUCCCAGGAGAUUCUGAUGCUCACUGUUAGACUUUCACUGUUGUCUAAAUCCAACCUUAUUUUCUCUUUUCUCAAAACUUCAGCUCUCAAAAACUUGAUUGAUUAAUUAUGUCACUCCUGUUUUGUUGAACAUGGUGUUGUCAGCAAUAGGUUCAAGUUCUUCUAUGUCUUGUUGUAGGUGAUUUGUACAAAACCGGCAGGAAUGAUGGCCUUUUUUAAAAUGAAGAUUUCAUGCCUUACUCCUACUGGGACUACAACUAACUUUGGACCUGGUCACUCGCAGAUACAUGGGAAUGGGAGUGAUACAGAAGGGGGACUAAUUGGAAGAACUGCUGCUGCUGGUGGUGAUGCUGGACUGUCUUGAAUCUGUGGCCUAACCGAGUUGAUAUUCUUCUGUUUAAUAUGGGAGCAACACACUGGCAUCUAUUGCACAGAAAAUCAUGAUCAGAUGGUGCCCUCCCUAUCAGAGUGGUGAUCACUGUCCUAUAUUUCUUUGAAAUCCCGGAUCUGUGUUUUGGUUUCUCCAUGGAUAAUUGAAACAGAGAAAGAAUUUGGGACCACUCCUUGGCAUAUCUGAAAUAUUUAUGUCAUAUACAGUUUACAAAAUUGAGUCGUGAGUAAUGCGGCCCAUGUGAAUUUAUAGACUGAAGUUGGCAAAUUUAUGCGAUUUUCCCGGAAAACGUGAAACUGAGGUAGGUUUGGGCAUUUACUUGAGUGCUUUAAACAUCCGGUGUGAGGAAACGAUUGCGCAAUACAACUUGGUUCAUGUUAUGGAUAAAAAAUAUAAUCUUAGAUUUAUUCUAAAGUGUUCUUUAAUUUUUCCAAAUUUGGUAGGCCAAAAAUGGCAUAUUGUGGGUCAUGUUCUUUACAAUUGAUAAUUAAAAGAAAAAAACCAUAGAAUACACAACGAAUAAUCCUUACAUAUAUAAGCAUGAAUGCAACAUUAUGUAAUAAUGGAUAAAAAGUACAAAUCAAGACAAUUUAAAGUAUAAAAUAUGAUGCAAGUAUACAACGUUUCUUUUCCCUUUUUACUAUGCUUCACUACGUCAUUAUAAGAUUAAUUGUAUAUGGGCCCUUUUGUGACCACCUUUUUGCUAUAGUUGUAUUCAGCAUUUGUACAUGUUUUAUUGGAUGGGCUUCUUGUGUCAUGUGACUAGUUAGCCUGUUUUAAACAGUAUCUAGUCAUUUUGUAGUUAUUAUUCAACUCUCUGAUGUAAGCCCAGCCAAUUCAUUGUUAUGUAUGAUUAUGUAAUAUGCAAUUUUAGUUGGCAGUUAUUUGUUAUUUCAAUAAGAUUGAUAUGAUAUGAUUAAUCUCAUAAUUCCUGUAAAAAGUACAAAAUUAGGAGUAUGGCGAUUACAGACACCAGGAUGUACCAGAGGUAGUAUACAAUGCCUAAGAAAAGCCUUUCCUGUCGACCUGCCACAACCGCGGCGAUCCCUACAUCUUCUUCAAGGUGUCUCGGAUCCCUGCGAAACGGAGAAGGAUCUUCAUGAAUAUCUGGGGAUGGUUACAGAAGAGAAUUAGCUAAAGAUUUUUUUUUAUCCUGAUACGCCUUGAACUUUAAAGAAUAUUAUCAUUUUAAUUUGCUAUAUGCAUAUCAAUGGCCACCGGCUUCAUUGUUUAUAAAAUAUUAAAAAAAACAAACCCACAAAAGACAUACAGGACAUUACUAUUCAACUACUAGAAUAUCAUGUGACUGCUCUUACAGAUGUAGAUGGGGUUUAAGUGACAAGCUUUAUGUAAGAAAACGUCAUUUUUCAGGACGUAUUUGCCCCCUGGGGCCAAUAUGAAAAUUCUGAAACCUUAUUGCACAUCUACAGGAUAUUACUAUUCAGCUCCUUGAAUAUCAUGUGACUAUUCCUAAAGAUGUAGAUGGAGUUUAAAUGACAAGCUUUGUGAUAGAAAACGUCAUUUUUCGGCCCCUAUUUACAGCCUGGGGCCAAUAUGAAAAUUUCAACAUGUUAUUACACAUCUACAGGACAUUACUAUUCAGCUCCUUGAAUAUUAUGUGACUAUUCCUAAAGAUGUAGAUGGAGUUUAAGUGACAAAUUAGUUUUAUGUUAGAAAACGUCAUUUUCGGCCCCUGGGCAAAUAUGAAAAUUCCAAAACCUUAUUGCACAUCUACAAGACAUUACUAUUCAGCUCCUAGAAUAUCAUGUGACUGUUCCUACAGAUGUAGAUUGAGUUUAAGUGACAAGCUUUAUGUUAGAACACGUUAUUUUUUAGGCCUAUUUGCCCCCUGGGGCCAAUAUGAAAAUUCUGAAACUUUAUUGCACAUCUACAGGAAUUUGCUAUUAAGCACCUAGAAUAUCAUUUGGAUUGCGCUGUGAAUAUGGACACAAUUUUAGUGACAACAACGGGGACGGACGGACGGACGGACCAGGAUAAACACAAUAUACCCGAACUUUCUUUAGAGAGUGCGGGUAUAAUAAUGAUAAUAAUAUGAAUGAUAUCAAUGUUGUUUAUUUGUGUUUGAAUGCAUGAUGGUGAUCAUUGUACAUUGAUAAAGUGGCUUUUUAUAGGAUCCGAAACAGUGACAUGUGAGAGAGUUGGUUGGCGGGGAUUUGUACUUUCACUUUUGAGGAUGCAGUAAACGGACGACAGGAGGGGAAGCUGCGCAUUUCCUCGUUGGAUGAUUUGUGUACAUGUGUGGACGUGGAUGUCAUUUCAGUGAGUUCACUUGGAUUUAAGAGGCUGAGCAAAGGCACAAAGAAAAUGUUUCCUGAGUAUAGAGUCUGAACAGAGGAUAUUGCAUCAUUCCUGAUGAGGCAAGUCAAGUUUGUUCAUUUAUCUGAUUUAUGAUUUCUUGUCUCACUGGUUUUUUUUUCCAAUUAUUUUUUAUUCAUUUAUUGGUUUACAAUAUUGCAGAAGGUGAAAUGUACAUGUUUAACUUUGGCUGUGUAUGUGUAUUUGUUUUAAUUUUUUUUUUGGGGGGGGAGUUAUCAGUUUAGGUAGAGUGUCAAUUUUGUGUAUUGCUUAAAGAUCAGUACCACUGUCCUAAUGUUGAACAUUGGGCAGAUAUGUAAAUUGGCACUUGGUUGGUUCAUGCAGUCCUCCCUGACAUUGACAGAGCUUUCCCAUGUAGACUGUUUCUUAUGAGUUGUGCGUAGAGUAUCGGUCAUCUGUCUGUGUCUCGCAAGCACUUGGUGCAGACAGCUAUCAUGCUGAAUCCCGUGAAGGAAGGGGAUAUAGACUUCCUUUGGAAUGACGUACAUACUCAAUGUUGGGUCACUUGUGAGAGACCCACAUCUUGAAUUUUGACCUUGACCCUAUUUUUAAGGUUAAUCACCUAAUACCUUGUGGAGGAGAAAGUGAUCUAAACCUUUGACCUUUUCCCACUUUCAAGGUCAUUCAAGGUCAACAAUCCUAGAAUAUCAUGUGACUAC